rnacentral:rRNA from 1 species
CUUAGCGAAAACUUACAGCCCUUGACAUGUGACUCGCCGGCUCCAGAGAUGGAGCCUUCGGUUCGGCCGGAGUCAGCACAGGUGCUGCAUGGCUGUCGUCAGCUCGUGUCGUGAGAUGUUGGGUUAAGUCCCGCAACGAGCGCAACCCUCGUCUCCAGUUGCCAUCAGGUUAUGCUGGGCACUUUGGAGAAACUGCCGGUGACAAGCCGGAGGAAGGUGGGGAUGACGUCAAGCCCUCAUGGCCCUUACGGGCUGGGCUACACACGUGCUACAAUGGCGGUGACAAUGGGAUGCGAUGGCGCGAGCCGGAGCCGAUCCUAAAAAACCGUCUCAGUUCGGAUUGCACUCUGCAACUCGAGUGCAUGAAGUUGGAAUCGCUAGUAAUCGAGGAUCAGCAUGCCUCGGUGAAUACGUUCCCGGGUCUUGUACACACCG